rnacentral:rRNA from 1 species
CGAGCGAACAGAUAAGGAGCUUGCUCCUUUGACGUUAGCGGCGGACGGGUGAGUAACACGUGGAUAACCUACCUAUAAGACUGGGAUAACUUCGGGAAACCGGAGCUAAUACCGGAUAAGAUUUUGAACCGCAUGGUUCAAUAGUGAAAGACGGCCUUGCUGUCACUUAUAGAUGGAUCCGCGCCGUAUUAGCUAGUUGGUAAGGUAACGGCUUACCAAGGCAACGAUACGUAGCCGACCUGAGAGGGUGAUCGGCCACACUGGAACUGAGACACGGUCCAGACUCCUACGGGAGGCAGCAGUAGGGAAUCUUCCGCAAUGGGCGAAAGCCUGACGGAGCAACGCCGCGUGAGUGAUGAAGGUCUUCGGAUCGUAAAACUCUGUUAUCAGGGAAGAACAAACGUGUAAGUAACUGUGCACGUCUUGACGGUACCUGAUCAGAAAGCCACGGCUAACUACGUGCCAGCAGCCGCGGUAAUACGUAGGUGGCAAGCGUUAUCCGGAAUUAUUGGGCGUAAAGCGCGCGUAGGCGGUUUUUUAAGUCUGAUGUGAAAGCCCACGGCUCAACCGUGGAGGGUCAUUGGAAACUGGAAAACUUGAGUGCAGAAGAGGAAAGUGGAAUUCCAUGUGUAGCGGUGAAAUGCGCAGAGAUAUGGAGGAACACCAGUGGCGAAGGCGACUUUCUGGUCUGUAACUGACGCUGAUGUGCGAAAGCGUGGGGAUCAAACAGGAUUAGAUACCCUGGUAGUCCACGCCGUAAACGAUGAGUGC